rnacentral:tRNA from 1 species
GCCUGGGUGGCUCAGUUGGUUGAGCAUCCGACUUUGGCCCAGGUCAUGAUCCCACGCUUUGUGGGUUCAAGUCCCACAUCAGGCU